rnacentral:rRNA from 1 species
GACGAACGCUGGCGGCGUGCUUAACACAUGCAAGUCGAACGGAAAGGCCCUGCUUUUGUGGGGUGCUCGAGUGGCGAACGGGUGAGUAACACGUGAGUAACCUGCCCUUGACUUUGGGAUAACUUCAGGAAACUGGGGCUAAUACCGGAUAGGAGCUCCUGCUGCAUGGUGGGGGUUGGAAAGUUUCGGCGGUUGGGGAUGGACUCGCGGCUUAUCAGCUUGUUGGCGGGGUAGUGGCUUACCAAGGCUUUGACGGGUAGCCGGCCUGAGAGGGUGACCGGCCACAUUGGGACUGAGAUACGGCCCAGACUCCUACGGGAGGCAGCAGGGGGGAUUAUUGCAAAGGGGGGGGAAGCCGGAGGCAGCAGCGCCGCGGGCGGGAUGACGGCCUUGGGUUUGUAAACCGCUUUCGCCUGGGACGAAGCGGGAGUGACGGUAAUGGGUAAAGAAGCACCGGCUAACUACGUG